GGGGGGGGGGGGGGGGGGGGCGGAGGGGGGGGGGGCGAGGGGGGGGACGAGGGGCUUGCGCCUCUGAGGUUGGCGGGGGGCGGGUGAGUAACUCGUGGAUAACCUACCUAUAAGACUGGGAUAACUUCGGGUAACCGGAGCUAAUACCGGAUAAUAUAUUGAACCGCAUGGGCCACUAGUGAAAGACGGUUUUGCUGUCACUUAUAGAUGGAUCCGCGCCGCAUUUGCUAGUUGGUAAGGUAACGGCUUACCAAUGCAACGAUGCGUAGCCGACCUGAGAGGGUGAUCGGCCACACUGGAACUGAGACACGGUCCAGACUCCUACGGGAGGCAGCAGUAUGUAAUCUUCCGCAAUGGGCGAAAGCCUGACGGAGCAACGCCGCGUGAUGGAUGAAGGUCUUCGGAUCGUAAAACUCUGUUAUUAGGGAAGAACAAAUGUGUAAGUAACUAUGCACGUCUUGACGGUACCUAAUCAGAAAGCCACGGCUAACUACGUG
rnacentral:rRNA from 1 species